UACGUAGGGUGCAAGCGUUGUCCGGAAUUAUUGGGCGUAAAGAGCUCGUAGGCGGUCUGUCGCGUCUGGUGUGAAAAUCUAGGGCUUAACCCUGGACCUGCAUCGGGUACGGGCAGACUAGAGUGCGGUAGGGGAGAUCGGAAUUCCUGGUGUAGCGGUGAAAUGCGCAGAUAUCGGGAGGAACACCGGUGGCGAAGGCGGUUCUCUGGGCCUUACCUGACGCUGAGGAGCGAAAGCGUGGGGAGCGAACAGG
rnacentral:rRNA from 1 species